rnacentral:lncRNA from 1 species
GUGGGGUGAGUGGGUGAGCUUCUUGAAUAUGUAAAUAUGGGUGGAAAAUUUUUUUGAUUUGGAUUUGGAAUAAAAUAUGAGUCAAAAAAUAGUUAACCGGGUCGGAACUAUAUUUCUUUUUAAAAAUAUGGUUUCAAACUUUAACCAACCCAAAUAAAUAAAUAUAGUUAACCAAUUCAUUUGGUUCCAGUUAAUAUGGAUUGAUCCGACAGUUAACCAACUAUAUUGUCAGGUCUAGGCACCACAACCUGGGGAAGUCUUGGUAUUUGUGUUCAUCUGCAAAUUUGAUAAUGCUGGUUAGGGGUGAGCAUGGUGCGGUUUGGUGCGGUUUGAAGUCCAAAUCGCACCCGAAAUCGCUUAGGUGCGGUUUGAAAAAUUCAAAAUCGCACCCGAAAUCGCUUGUGAUUGGUGCGGUGCGGUUUUAAAGUGUGCGGUGCGGUUUCGAUUCCAAAACUAAUUAAAACAACAAAAAAAUCUAAGUCUUCAAUAAAAUUUAACAUAAAACUUACAUCGAGCAAUUAAUUUAGUGACAAAGUCGGCAAUGGGAAUUAUAUCAAGCAUGUUUUAAAACUAAAACAUACGUUAUAUAAAACAACGGAGACCAUAUAUUCGAUAACAAGCAAGAAUGUUUAUCUAGUUCCCAAAAAUUAAAAGUAUAUACUGGAGAUAGAAUAAAAUUCUAUCUCAUAUAUUGCAGGAAGGACUUAUAGAAUAUAAUCAUAACUAUACCUAAUUUGAAAAAUAAUCUAUUAGACUAUUACUAUUAUAGCAUUAACAUUAACCAAUGCAUCAAGUGCUCGAGUCCCUCAGCUAUAAGUCCCUCCAAUAACGCAUCAAACAAAUUUGAAAUUUUAAAACCCAAUUGCUUAAUUUUUGACUCUAUAACCUCUAACAUCUUCUUUCAAUUGGUGAAAAAAUAACAAUGCAAGACUGAGAUUUUCUUUGAGCGUGUUCAAGUGAAAAAUAACUUUCAAAUUUACUAGAGAUAAUAUAUACAUACACACAUAUGGUGCGGUUUCGAUUUUAUGCGUGCAAUUUUGGCUAGUAACCAAACCGGAACCGUAAAUUUGGUUAUUCAACCCACCUAAAACCGCCACAUACGCCGAAACCGUUGGUGCGGUUUUAAUUGGUGCGGUUUGUGCAACUUUUGAUGCAAUUUCGGUUCCAAUUUAAUUACUUGCUCAGCCCUAAUGCUGGUUGCUUCCGGCAGAGGAGUAAGUUGACACAAAGCCGCCCUUGAUGUUUUCCCGACUGUAAUGACCUGCUGGCUCUAUUGCAAAAUAAUAUGAAAUGAAUUUAAAUGCCUCUUGGCUACUUCCAAUUUUCGCGGCAGGAUUGAAUACAAGAGUUGUUUUGUUUACUGUGUAUUGCUAUUUGUUUAUUCGUAUUGUUAAAUUUAUUAAUAAAAAC